AUUGAACGCUGGCGGCAGGCCUAACACAUGCAAGUCGAGCGAGCGGCGGACGGGUGAGUAAUGUAUGGGGACUGCCCGAUAGAGGGGGCUAACUACUGUAAACGGUGGCUAAUGCCGCAUACUGUCGGAUGACUCAUAUGGGAUUAGCUAGUAGGUGGGGUAAAGGCUCUCCUAGGCGACGAUCUAUAGCUGGUCUGAGAGGAUGAUCAGCCACACUGGGACUGAGACACGGCCCAGACUCCUACGGAGGCAGCAGUGGGGAAUAUUGGACAAUGGGCGAAAGCCUGAUGCAGCAAUGCCGCGUGUAUGAAGAAGGUCUUAGGGUCGUAAAGUACUUUCAGCGGGGAGGCGUUACCCGCCGAAGAAGCCCCGGCUAACUCCGUGCCAGCAGCCGCGGUAAUAC
rnacentral:rRNA from 1 species